AAGAAAUAGAAAGAGAUCAGAGAAGUAAGUUAGAGAAAGGAAGAAUUUGGAAGAAAUUGUAGAGAGGAGUAUAGAAAGUAGAAUUUCAAGAAAGGUAGAACAAGUAGAAGAAAAGAGAGAAGAAUAGAAGGAGAAACCUGGAAUUUGGGAAGGCUACCACUGAUCUGGAAAUGGAUGCAACUCAGAUAAACCAGAAAGCAAGCAGUGCCCAUCCCUCGAAGGCUCUGUUUCCAUUUGUCAUAUAACCAGGUUCUCAAUCACAGAAAGAAUAGAAAUAGAGCAGGGAAAGAAAUAGAGUUUUAGGGAG
rnacentral:misc_RNA from 1 species